GGUGUCCAAGUGAAAAUGUAGAAUGUUCUAAUUAAAAAGUACAAGCAGGACAGAAAUCUGAAUUUCCCAAUAUGUGGGUAGAUCACUUCUGAUAUGGUCAGGAUUUCAGUUCCUAAAUGUUGCAGACACUGGGACAGAUCCAGAAAAACUGGCAUGAGGCACAUAUUCUAGGUCCGUGUGCCUGCUAAAACCACCUGUGUCAGAGGGAAUUUAUCCAGGGGAGGUUAAGUGGUUUGUCACCACUGCUAACUGAUCUCCCCCAUUUUUUCCACCAAUAGGAGGGGGAUGGUUCGGGUGUUCCAUCAGGUCUCAUUUGGAGAUUCACCACCAAGAUGUCGUGGGUGUGCCCCCUUUCAGGAGGUUGGAGUCUUUAUGCCAGCACCUGGUUGUCUACCCACCACAAGGGCUUCAGCAGAGUUCAUACUAACAUCCUUGGGAGAAUUUGGUCCACAAUCUUUGUUCUGAAUUCUGAUUAGUUCUGAUCAACUAACCCUGAUUUCGCAUAUGACCAACAACAGGCUCAUCACUGGAUUACUUAUGCUACGAUUGAAUUCCUUCGUUUAAAAUUAUCUCACAUCAUGGUCUUUCAAGGUUACAGGACGGGGGAGGAAGUGCUUAGGAAUCACUUAGCAGCCAUGUGGCCUGGGUGGAGAAAAUACUGGAUGGGGAC